ensembl:lncRNA
AAAUGAAAUACAAAAAGAGAAUAGAAAAAAUAACUUACCGUAGUAAACUAGAAAUUAAAGUAGAAAUUAUAUUUAACAACAACAAAAUAGUUGGUGGUUAUAUAACCAUAAAAAUGCUGUGCUCUUACGUAAGUGAGUAUGUAGAGUUUUUAUGUGUCCACGCGCAUGUGUGUGCGUGUAUACAUAUGCAGUUCCCCAUCCGGUGCAGAUAUAAGAGGUUGAUAGUGUAGACAGGUCACGUGUCUUAUGGGCCCUGUUAAUUACUCAAGAGUUAAUCGGUUUUAGAGAGCGGUACAGCUUUAGCUGCAGUGUCUCUCUGCCUGUGCCCUGUACUCAAAGGUUAUAUAUGUACUCAAAGCCCUUGAGCUCGCAGAUAAAUGCCAAACAGGCCAAAUUCUAAAAGAUCCACAGAGUGGGUUAAAGCCCGGCUGGUCAAAACACAGUCUGGUGGUCUCUGGGAAGUAGCAGACAGGAGUAAUUCCCUUUAAUCACAAGAGAUUUCCCGAGCACUUUGUGGGAAUAAAAGUCAUGAAAAGGUCAUGCUAUCACAGACAAGUAAGUUUUAUUUGUAAAAGUAGGGUUGCAAAGAGAAGAUUUAGAACUUUUUGAAGUGAAUACAACCUAGUUAAUCAGACACACAACCAACUGCACUGUUUGUGCUACAGUCAUGGAAACAAUAUUCACUUGCAAAAAAUAAACAAACAAAAAACAAACAAACAAACAAAACAUUCAUUUUAAAUAGAUUGAGGGACUCCAGCACCUAUAAAUACUGUAUCGUAGUGAUAUUGAUAUCAUAGAUAUCAUAGUGGCUUCAUAAUGAUUUUACGUUUAACUUUAAAGUGAAUAAUGAUUUAAGUCAAAAAGUUUAAUUUGACAUUAUUGCAUAAAACAAUUUUUAAAAGCACACAUAAGUUUGUUAAGAAACAGUCAUGAAAGUGUCUCUUGAAGUUCACUUAAGUGGCCUUUUUUUCUCAAUAAUAUUAUAUUAUCUGCACGUUUUUAAAACUAGAGAUGGUUUGAAGGAACUAUUCAAUAUAAUUAAACACAUUUCUUUUUCAUGAUUUUUCACAAAAUCAUCCUGCAUCGCUGCAGAAGUAUUGACCCAGUGUUUACAAAGUAAACAUUCAAAGAAGAUCAAAUGCCCUUUACAAAAAAAAAACAAAAAACGGCAAAACAGCAAAACAGCACAAUUUUGAAGUUGGAGGAGAAAAUAAGAUGGGAGUUUUUAGAUCUACCCUAACUGUCUUGGACCGAAAAAAAAAAAAAAAAAACUGAGUUCACGAAGAGCUAGACAAGAUUUUUUUAUUUAUUUAUUUAUUUUUUUUUUUUUAGAAAAUAUCGUUUCGCUAGAUAGGACCCUUCUCAGUCGGCUGAGAUCGUUUAGAGCCAUUUGAAGCUGCAUUUUGGAAGUUCAAAAUCGGGGGCACCAUUGAAGUCCAUCAUAUGGAGAGAAAUCCUGAAAUGUUUUGCUCAAAAAACAUAAUUUCUUUAUGACUGAAGAAAGAAAGACAUGAAUAUCUUGGAUGACUAGGGGGUGAGUACAUUAUCUGUAAAUUUUUGUUCUGGAAGUGAACUACUUUAAGGAUGUAAUUUUUUGGCUUGAGCCAUGAAGUAAGCAAACACCCAAAACACCCCAGAUGUGCUCAAAUGUCUAGGGUUAACCGUGAAACAAUAAUUUUAUCACAGGCUGAGAUAAAGUCGAUCAGUUUCUGAUUUUGUAUUUGUUUCUUUCUGAUAGAUCCAUCUGGACUUACUCAGAAAAAUUUACCUGGUUAAAUUGUGUCAAUCAAGACCCAUCUCUAUGUAACUCUCUGUUGGGUGUGUGUAUAUGUUUAUACGCACAAUCUAAGUGUAUGUGUGUGUCAUCAUCUCUAGCCAGGGGCUCUGCGGCUGUCAUGUUUCUAGUACAGACCAUCUGCUGCAUGAGCCUGCCGUGAUGCCAGCAGAAGCACAAGAGAACAAUAUGCCAAACACCCACACACCGACACACCCACACACACACACACUGUAGUGCCUCUCUAUUGCUGCUGACUCAAAAAUACAAUCCUUUUCCUAGACCCCACCAAACCCAAACCCAAACCCAAAAAGACCCUCUGCAUCCCUUGUGAAAUAAAUGUGUGCGGAAUUGUGUUCACCUGUAGUGUAUUUCAAAUCUUAAAAGUAUAUAGAAAACAAAAUAUAAUAAAAUAAACUGUACUGAAAUAAAAGGCAACUUAAGUGCACUUAAUCAUUGCACUUUGUAAUAUAAAACUUUAAGUCGCAACUUAAAAGUGCAUUUAUAAUAAUUCUUCUUCUUUCAUACCUGCACUGUUGCAAGGUCUGCUUAUUGGCAUUUCGCUUUCCACUUCUUCCAGUCUAGGGCAUCGUCGGGGGCUGUGUUGACUUGUUUCAUAUUUUCUUUUCUUUUUUUUCUCAGUCCAUUCAUCUCUUCUUUGGUCAAACAUGUGGUCGCCAUCCAUCUGGGCUAAGGCACAAUGCUGUCUAUCACUUGAUUCUUCUCCGCUGUGAACGACAUGGCUGUCCCAAUAAAGAUGUGCUUCUUUCAUCUUCUCUAUGAUUGGAGCCAUUCCCAGUACUUUCUGCACGUCUUCAUUCCUGACAUGGUCCAGACUGCUGGUGUUUGGCGGAUGCAGGCCAACACUCUGAACUGUGAAGUGUGACUGACCGUAUGAGGGUCUUGUAAAUCUCUGCUUUAAGAUGGGUGGGAAAUCGCCAAUCUCAUACAGGGUUUCAGUGGGUCUUAAAAAGUCUUACAUUUUGUUGCAUUAAAUUAAAAGCCUUAAAAAGUCUUAAAUGGUAUAAGAAAGUCAAGAGGUCUUAAAUUUGGGGAUGGAAAGACAAGAAUUUAUAAAAGCACCACUUGCUGGCAGAGAAUGAAUGUGCAUUUUCAAUAAGCCCGUCUGCUGUAUUUAUUCAGACCAAAGCAAAAAUCGACCCACACUUUUAUGCGUCAAACAUAUAAAUUUGAACUGGUGGAUCGACAGUAAGCUAAUGCUAAUGCAUUAUAAAAAAUUUAACAAUUAAGACACUGAAGGCCAGAUUUACUAACAGCUUGCACCAGCGCAAACCAUCUUUUGGUGUUAAAAUAGUACUGUAAGGAUUUACUAAAGAUGCGCAGUGAAGAAUUAACACUGACAAAGUGAGGACACAGUUAUUUUUGCGCCGGACCUUAUUGAACAUGCAUUUGUAGGAGUUUCCCUUUCAGACACAAAAUUUAUGGGAGGAGAUUAUUCAAAUGAAUCAUGCAACGUGAUUUACUAAUGUUUGCUCUGGUCAAAUUACUGAUAUUUGCACCAUUAUUUAAUGCCCAAAAAAGCACAUCUUAAACAAUUUUUCGCCUGUGUCGUAAGUAGAUUACCCGAACCUGAUGAUCAUCGGUUCUGCUUAUUUGCGACUACGCUAAUUUGCGCUGUGCUUGGUAUAUUGCGUUGGUCAAUAUGCAAAUGAGAUGUUGUGUCUGUGUUCUUUAAUUUGCGCAUUUUCAGUAAAUCACUAGCAGACAUUUUUACCAGAUGGCAUUGACAUGCACACGUGUGUCUAAAGCCCAAAGUAUACUUAAUUUUUUAUGCAUACGCGAGGGUCAGCAUACAGUGCACAUGAGGUGAAUUUCGUCAUCAGAAUAGUAUGCUAUUUUGAUGACGAAAUUCACAUCUAAUUUUUCUCCAGAAGUUUUGACCAAUAAAAAUAUAUUUGUACUCUUUUAAACCAAAGCUGGGUUAUUUCAUACCGUGUAGUGUGUCUACAGUAUGGGCAUGUAAUAACUUUUGGAGUAAAAAUAGAACAAACA